AGUUGGAAUCGCUAGUAAUCGCGAAUCAGCAAUGUCGCGGUGAAUACGUUCUCGGGUCUUGUACACACCGCCCGUCACACCACGAGAGUUGGUUGCACCUGAAGUAGCAGGCCUAACCGUAAGGAGGGAUGCUCCGAGGGUGUGAUUAGCGAUUGGGGUGAAGUCGUAACAAGGUAUCCGUACGGGAACGUGCGGAUGGAUCACCUCCUUUCUAAGGAGA
rnacentral:rRNA from 1 species